rnacentral:rRNA from 1 species
UCUUAGUUCGUGGAGUGAUCUGUCUGCUUAAUUGCGUUUCAAAUAUAUUUUAUUAUAUAACGAGUCUACAAAGGAGUGGUUCAUUAACAGACAAUCAUAUCUUUGAGCGUCUGGAAUCUACUCUAUUUGGCUCAAUUGAACGCAACGGACGUGAUCGCGAGUCCUUGUUGAACUUCAGUAUAUAUUGACUAUCCCCGUAGGAAGGGAUUGGCAAUAAUUGAAUGUUCGCUUUCUAUUAGGUGUGUAUAUAUAGUCUCAAAAUUGCAUGUAUUUGUAAUGGCGAGUAAUAUGUACUAUCCUAUAGGAAAACUCGGGCGACCGCUGUAAUAUUUCUCUUUAAAACAGAGGAAGAUUGCGGCAAUAACAGGUCUGUGAUGCCCUCAGAUGUCCCGGGCCGCACACGUGCUACAUUGAUUAGCGCAGUGCGCAUACUUUCAAUAUGAUACAUUAGAUUGGAUUGUUCUGUUGAGCUCCAUCUAAUACUAUCCGGCUUGAGAAGGCUGGGUAAUCAAUUGUAAGUGCUGGUUCCUCCUCCCGUUGAGCAUUUUAAUAAUGGCCUCUCUACAUCCCUAGCAAUAUGCCUAGUGCGAUUGUAGUUGAGCCUUGCCAUUUAUGCAAGUGUCAAUUCUCAG